GUGGUUGGUGGGCUCGUCGAGCAGCAGCAG
rnacentral:antisense_RNA from 1 species